rnacentral:lncRNA from 1 species
GGAACGUAAACAUCAUGGACUGCAAAUGGGUACUAAUAAAAUAUAAAAAUUGGGGAAAAAAAGAAAAAAAAUACCUGAGGAGGGAGAAAAAGCUAAUAAACAGCUCUGUAAUUGUUAAUGGGGAUGUCAUAAUACAGGAAGACUGAAGUUCUCAUUUCCUCAGAAUGACACUUCAGUGAUUUAUCCAACUAACAAAUUCUUCCCUAAUAAUUAUUUUUGGGGAAAAGCCACUGCUGUCUCACUCCCAGCCCUAAACUCCAUUGAGUAAUCCAGCCCUGGUGCAGCUCAUGUCUGUAGCAAACAUUCAUUUGCUCAACAAAUAUUUAUAUUUUGAUAUUUGCCAAGUGCCAGGCAUGGUGUUUGGUUCUGAGAAGGCAAAGGUCAUAAAGUAAAAUCUUGUAGGAAUUCACGCAAGGUGUGGGGGUGCUGACAAGGGAACCCCAUCCUAGUGAGAUGAGCUCAGAGCUUUCAGAUCUGGGGGACUAUGGCUCUGUGCGGAGCCGACCUCACCAAGGAGACAGGGACGUGCUGGGGCUCGAAGCAGCGGAACAACUGCCAAAGAGAACUGGGAAUUAAACUCAGGAUCUUUGCACUGACCCACUUCCCAGAGGGUCUCCCUAGGCUCAAAUAUACAAUCCUCCUGGCUCAGCCUCCCAGCGUGCUCCCAGGCAUUCAUCACGACCCAGGAUGCCCAUGUUUCUAAGUACCACCUUCUUGUCAUACAUCACUGUCCCGACCGAAAUGGUAUCCUGGGGAAGAUGUCGGCAUGAUUCAGGAAAGGGGGAGCUCAGAGCAUCUGGGCAUGCACGGUUCAGCACCUUGAGGAAGCCAGAUGUUUUUGCCCGCAUACGCGUGUGAAUAUAGGCCUUGGAGCACUUGAUGUGGUAAUGCAGGUAGUCCCGGAACGUGUGGAUCAGGUUGACGGUGUUGUCUCAGGAACUGGCAUUGGUGUGGUGAGGGAACAGCACAAAGGUGACGUAGCCAGUGUUGUCGCCCACGGCCGCAUCUGUACCGUUCAGCUCCGGAGGAGGUUCCCUGUGGCUAAAGAGAACCUGGGGGCUGUGUGGCUGGCUCUGCGUCCUUCUUUGAACUCCUGCAUGAACACCUUUCCAAUGACCACGUCGUCGUCAUCUUUAAACACUGUGC